rnacentral:rRNA from 1 species
GCUGUGGCGGGCAGCUUGAACACAUGCAAGUCGGAUGGGAAGUGGUGUUUCUAGUGGCGAACAGGUGAGUAACGCGUAAGAACCUACCCUUGGGAGGGGAACAACGGCAGGAAACAACUGUGAAUACCCCAUAGGCUGAGGAGAAAAAGGGGGGAUCCGCCCAAGGAGGGGCUCGCGCCUCAUUAGUUAUUUGGUGAGGCAAUAGCUUACCAAGGUGAUGAUCAAUAGCUGGUCUGAGAGGAUGAUCAACCACACUGGGAUUGAGACACAAUCCAUACUCCUAUGGGAGGCAACAGUGGGGAAUUUUCUGCAAUGGGCGAAAGCCUGAUGGAGCAAUGGCGCAUGAAGGCAGAAGGCCCACAGGUCAUGAAAUUCUUCUCUCGGAGAAGAGAAAAUGAUGAUAUCUGAGGAAUAAGCAUCGACUAACUCUGUGCCAGCAGCCGUGGUAAGACAGAGGAUGCAAGUGUUAUCCGGAAUGAUUGGGCAAAGCGUCUAUAGGUGGCUUUUCAAGUCCGCCAUCAAAUCCCCGGGCUCAACCAUUGAGAGGUAGUGGAAACUACCAAGCUGGAGUACUCGGUAGGGCAGAGGGAAUUUUCAGGUGGAGGAUGUGAAAUGCGUUCGAGAUCGGAAUAGAACACCCGACGGCGAAAGACACUCUUUGCUGGGCCGACACUGACAUGAGAAGACGAAAGCUAGGGAAGCAAUGGGAUUGAUAAACCCUAGUAGUCAGCCGUAACACGAUGGAACUCACUAAGUACGCCUGUGAUACUCGACCCGCGCAGUGCGAGCUAACGCGUUAAGUAUGCCUGGGGAGUACGUUUCGCAAGAAUGAAACUUCAAAGAAUUGACGGGGGCCGUAAAGCGUGGAGCUGUCGGUCAUUCACUUGCAACAGCGAAGAACACUUACCAGGACUUGAAAUCGUGAUCCUCCCGAAAGAGAGGAGCGCCUUUGGGAACACAGACACAGGUGGUGCAUGGCUGUUGUCAGCUCGUGCUGUAAGGUGUUGGAGUCCCGCAAUGAGCGCAACCCUCGUGUUUAGUUACCAGCAUUUAGUUUGGAACCUUGAAUAGACUUCCGGU